rnacentral:rRNA from 1 species
UACGGGGGGGUGCGAGCGUUGUCCGGAAUCACUGGGCGUAAAGGGCGCGUAGGUGGCCUGAUAAGGGUGUGGUGAAAGUCCGGGGCUUAACCCCGGAUCUGCCGUGCCGACUGUUAGGCUAGAGUGCUGUAGGGGCAGGCGGAAUUCCGGGUGUAGCGGUGGAAUGCGUAGAUAUCGAGAGGAACACCGGUGGCGAAGGCGGCUUCCUGGACAGUGACUGACGCUGAGAUGCGAAAGCGUGGGGGAGCAAACAGG